rnacentral:rRNA from 1 species
AACGAACGCUGGCGGCAUGCCUAACACAUGCAAGUCGAACGAGACCUUCGGGCUUAGUGGCGCACGGGUGCGUAACGCGGGGGAACCUGCCCUUAGGUUCGGUAUAACUCCCCGAAAGGGGUCCUAAUACCGGAUAAUGUCUUCCGACCAAAGAUUUAUCGCCUUUGGAUGGGCCCGCGUUGGUUUAGCUAGUUGGUAGGGUAAAAGCCUACCAAGGCGUCGAUCCAUAGCUGGUCUGAGAGGAUGAUCAGCCACACUGGGACUGAGACACGGCCCAGACUCCUACGGGAGGCAGCAGUGGGGAAUAUUGGACAAUGGGGGAAGGCCUGAUCCAGCAAUGCCGCGUGAGUGAUGAAGGCCUUAGGGUUGUAAAGCUCUUUUACCCGGGGUGAUAAUGACAGUACCGGGAGAAUAAGCUCCGGCUAACUCCGUG